rnacentral:snoRNA from 1 species
UUUAAAUGGUAGGCGAUACAGAGUUAUGUAUGUUCACAGUAAGGGCAACCCAACAAGAAUUUUUUCCUACUUUUGAGCUACCUCUUUUUAAUAUGGGUGACUCUUCCAGUUGCCAGGGAGACACUGUGGUAACUAGAGUGAAAGUAGAAAUAGGGAAAAAAAAAUAUUUAAAAGCUAG